GACGUAGGGCGCAAGCGUUGUCCGGAUUUAUUGGGCGUAAAGAGCUCGUAGGCGGCUUGUUGCGUCGGCUGUGAAAACCCGCGGCUUAACUGUGGGCUUGCAGCCGAUACGGGCGGGCUGGAGUUCGGUAGGGGAGAGUGGAAUUCCUGGUGUAGCGGUGAAAUGCGCAGAUAUCAGGAAGAACACCCGUGGCUAAGGCGGCUCUCUAGGACGGUACUGACGCUGAGACGCGAAAGCGUGGGGAGCGAACAGG
rnacentral:rRNA from 1 species